UUGGGCAAGUGUCUUCUACUAUAGCCUCGGGCCAACCAAAGCCUUGUGAGUGGAUUUGGUAGAUGGAAACUGAAAGAAGCCUUGUGUGUGUGUGUGUUUGUGUGUGUAU